GGUUCAGGAUGAACGCUGGCGGCGUGCUUAACACAUGCAAGUCGAACGGAGUUUUAGACGGAAGUUUCGGAUGGAAGUUAAAAACUUAGUGGCGGACGGGUGAGUAACGCGUGGGUAACCUGCCUCAUACAGGGGGAUAACAGUUAGAAAUGACUGCUAACACCGCAUAAUAUAGCGAAACCGCAUGAUUUUGCUAUCAAAUAUUUAUAGGUAUGAGAUGGGCCCGCGUCUGAUUAGCUAGUUGGUGGGGUAAAAGCCUACCAAGGCGACGAUCAGUAGCCGGCUUGAGAGAGUGACCGGCCACAUUGGGACUGAGACACGGCCCAAACUCCUACGGGAGGCAGCAGUGGGGAAUAUUGGACAAUGGGGGAAACCCUGAUUCAGCCGACGCCGCGUGAGUGAAGAAGUAUUUCGGUAUGUAAAGCUCUAUCAGCAGGGAAGAUAAUGACAGUACCUGACUAAGAAGCCCCGGCUAACUACGUGCCAGCCGCCGC
rnacentral:rRNA from 1 species